CUCGCAAACAAAAUGGUUGACAGCACAAAGAUCAUCACAGUUAUAAUCGCUGUCUUUAUGGUUAAAGGUGCCGGAAGAGACUUGCUCAUCAACAUUAUU
rnacentral:misc_RNA from 1 species